CUCGCAGCAAGCUGCUCGCGUGUCUUGUUUUCCCGCCAUUUUUUUACCGCGAUAGAAUUUGACCAAGACUUGAAUAAGUCUCGUGAAAUCAAAAAAGUUCUAGGUGCUAUAGUUUUGCCAGGCCGUAGGGUGACCCCUGAUGCGGAGCAGUUUUCCAAGAUGACGUUCCGAUCACACCCCAAUACAUCAUUUUUACCUCGUGAGACAUUUUCUGGAAAAACCAAAAUUUGUAUGGCGGCCAUCUUGUUUUUCGGCCAUUUUGUUUUUUUUUCACUGGCGAUAAAAUUUGACCAAGACUUUAAUAGGCUUCGUGAAAACAAAAAAGUUCCAGGUGCGAUAGUUUCGCCAGGCUGUAGGGUGUCUCCCUGAUGCGGAGCAGCUUAUGAAGAUCGAAAAGUAUUUCCAUACUCAACAUGAUGUUUCGAUCACAUUCCUCAUACAUCAUUUUUACCCCCGAGGCAUUUUCGGGAAAAACGAAAAUUUUGUAUGGCGGCCAUCUUGUUUUACCGCCAUUUUAGUUUUCUUUCACCGGAGAUUGAAUUUGACCAAGAUUUAAAUAGAUUUCGUGAAAACAAAAAAGUUCCAGGUGCGAUAGUUUUGCCAGGCCGUAGGGUGUCUCCCUGAUGCGGAGCAGAUUUCAAAGAUCGAGUAGUACUUCCAUACUCAACAUGACAUUCCGAUUACACCCCCAUACAUUGUUUUUACCUCUAAGACAUUUUUCUGUAAAAACAAAAUUUUGUAUGGCGGCCAUCUUGUUUUUCCGCCAUUUUGGUUUUUUUUCACCGGCGAUUGGAUUUGACUAAGAUUUAAAUACGUUGUGCGAAAAAAUUAUUGUUCCAGGUGCGAUAGUUUUCCCAGGCCGUAGGGUGCCGCCCUGAUGAGGAGCAGUUUUUGAAGGUCGGGAAGUAUUUCCAUACUCAAUAUGACAUUUUGAUCUCAUCCCUCUUAAAUUUUCGAGAAAAACGAAAAUUUUGUAUGGCGGCCAUCUUGUUUUUCCGCCAUUUUGAUUUUUUUUCACCCACAAUAGAAUUUGACCAAGAUUUAAAUAGGUUUCGUGAAAAAAUUAUUGUUCUAGGUGCGAUAGUUUUGCCAGGCCUUAGGGUGUCUCCCUGAUGCGGAGCAGUUUUCGAAAACCUGGAAGUAAACCCGUACUCUACAUGACGUUCCGAUCAAAACCCUCAUAAUAUUUUUUAUCCCAGAGGCAUUUUAAGGAAAAACUAAAAAUUUGUAUGGCGGCCAUCUUGUUUUUCCGCCAUUUUGAUUUUUUUUCAACGGUGAUUGAAUUUGACCAAGAUUUAAAUAGAUUUCGUGAAAGAAAAUUUGCUCCAGGUUUUAUAGUUUUGCCAGGCCGUAGGGUGUCUCCCUAAUGCGGAGCAGUUUUUGAAGAUCGAGAAGUAUUUCCAUACUCAACAAGACGUUCCGAUCACACCCCCAUACAUAAUUUUUAGCCCCGAGACAUUUUCUGUAAAAACAAAAUUUUGUAUGGCGGCCAUCUUGUUUUUCCGCCAUUUUGAUUUUUUUUUACUCACGAUAGAAUUUGACCAAGAUUUAAAUAGGUUUUGCGGAAAAAAAAUUUAUCCAGGUAUAAUAGUUGCGCCAGACCGUAGGGUGUCUCCCUGAUGCGGAGCAGUUUUCCAUGAUCUGGAAGUUUUCCCAUACUCACCGAGAGAUCUAGAUCACACCCCCCAUACAUCAUUUUUACCCCCCGACGCUCCUUCUGGGAGAACAACCCUGUCAGUGAGUCAGUGAG
rnacentral:lncRNA from 1 species